rnacentral:tRNA from 1 species
GGAGUUGUGGCUCAGUGGUAAGAGUGCUUGCCUGGCAUGCAUGAGGCCAUGGGCUCAAUCCUCAGCACCA